CACAUUUGACUGAAUUCAUGGACGCAUCUCCGACUAGACCAACUUACAGCCAAAAGACCUGCCACUUUUGUGGGGUAAUCAAAAGGACCCCGGCCGACCUUAAAAGACAUAUCAGAAUGCACACUGGUGAAAAACCGUUUUCUUGUUCUCUAUGCAAUAAGACGUUCAAAGCCAAGAGGACAGCCCAGAUUCACAAAUUUAUUCACCACGGAAUAUGCUCAGACGGCACAAACAUUUCGAACAAAUUUAAAGAAGAGCGAUUGCAACUACUGAAGAAGUUCAAAGAGAGAAAUUUGAUUAGUUCAAAUAACUCAAACAAAAACGAAUGCAACGGGAAUGCGAAAGGAAAUAACGAAUAUCAUGACAUUCCAAAAUAUGACAAUCA